AGGUCUAGCCUGCUCACUGACGAGUUUUUAAAGAGCCGCGGUAUUUUGACCGUGCAAAGGUAGCAUAAUCAUUAGUCUCUUAAUUAGGGGCUGGAAUGAAUGGCUUGACGAGAAAUUAACUGUCUCUUAUUAAAUUAUAGAAUUUAACUUUUGAGUUAAAAGGCUUAAAUUUUUCUUAAAGACGAGAAGACCCUAUAGAGCUUGACAUUUUAUUUUUAUAUAAUUUUUAGAUAAUCUUUUUAUAUUUAAAGAAAAUGUUUUGUUGGGGUGACAUGAAGAAUAAAUAAACUCUUCAUUAUAAAAUCAUUGAUUUAUGUUUAUUUUGAUCCAUAAUUUAUGAUCAUAAGAUUAAGUUACCUUAGGGAUAACAGCGUAAUUGUUUUUGAGAGCUCAUAUUGACAAAGCAGAUUGCGACCUCGAUGUUGGAUUAAGAAUAAUUUUGGGUGCAGGAGCCCAAU
rnacentral:rRNA from 1 species